CGUUGGACCAAAGGAGCCAGACCCAGAACGGUCCCCGCAGCACGAGGUCACGGCGACGGGGCUCACGAAGCAGUCCGACCCGUGCGGGUGGGAGCCGGGCCUGCCUCUCGUGGGCCGGAGGGGCUGACGGGAGGGACAAGCGACCCUACAGUGACGGGAACGUUCGUAUGUCGACCCAGCCGGCGUGCACGUGGGGGUGUCUGCUUGUCACAGCGCAUCCGACCCCACCCCUGAAAUCCGUACGUUUCGUUACAGUAAAUUGUGCCACGGUUUUGGAAGAGUUUGGGGUAAGGAAAAAAAAAAAGGUGUCGGAAAUGAUGAUCCAAGCCCCGCUUUGAUCUCGUGAAAAGCGUGUCUCGCCCAAAAUGACGAGGGCCAUUUGGGAGCUGCUGCUUGGCUUGGGCUCCGUGACAGGGACAUCACCAAGGGGCUUUGUAGAAUGUUUCCUUCUCGUCAGCACAUCACCUCCUCACUGCCUCUCUGCCUUCCCUCAAACCUGCGUCCGGGGGGACCCUGGAGGCCCACCCAGGGGCGUGAGCCACAUGGCCCGGCCGCUCAGUCGUGGCGUGAAGGAGACCCAAGGGGGACCCAAGCAAGAAAGGCAGCUUGUGCCUUUGGCCUCCACCCAGCACGGCCCCCCCAGACUGCUCCUCUUUGGUGGGUACGUGGCAGCCGCGUGGGGCAUCACGGGUCAGACAUCCGUGGCUCUGUGCAUUCCUGUAGCUCAGCCGCCCCUGGGAAAGCCAACACCCACGAAAGACCCGGCGCUCCCAAAGUGUCCCCACUUCACCCCUGGCAAAGUGUCCCCACUCGCCCACGACCCUCUCUUGCCCACUCCCUGUCCCAACCUCACUUGCCUCUGUGAUUCUGCCUACUCUGAGUGCCCGGGCUGGGACGGUCCCAGGCCAACCAAGACGGCUGGUUUCCCUAGUCACCUCCCUGUUGGUGACACGGUCCACGAGGACUGCGCAUGCCCAGCACAAAGGCGCAGCCCUGCGAGGGGAGAGCAGAGCCUUCUUAGGCGGACAGUGCCCUGCAGGCGGGCUCUCGCCCAGGCUGGGCCAGCAGCAUGUGGCAGUGGGUUCGCUCUGUCGAAGCCCCUGGCUGGGCAGCUGACUGGGGGCCCUUCCUGACCAGGAGAGCCUAACCAUCCAGCAAGGGAGGCUGGUACCACCACCCCCAGUCUCUCUGGUUUCCUACAACUUCGGUUGUACCUUCUAGAGCCUUACAGCUGAGUUCCAGUGCCUUCAGCAGUGAAGAGCUUUGCCCAGAAACCCUGUUCCCACUAUGGGAAGAGAUGGCGGUCCUACUGGACCCCUUCCCUGCCAUUUUUACAGCCAGAGCAAAUGCCUGUGGGUCCCUGAAGGACGGAAUUAAGGCUAGCUGGGUAUCAGUUAAGUGGAGACCACAUUGAUAGAACCUUCCGGAAAUAAGCUACCCCAGGAUGAAAGGAAUUGCCUCAAAAAGGAGUGAGCGUCCCCUGCCUUGGGGUAUGCAAAUGGAAGCGGUGUCUCCAUCUCUCCAGAGUCCGUCACAGCAAGAGGUGACGCACGGUCGCUCCCCCCAACCCCCGCCCCGGCUUGAUUUUGUGCCCCCGCUGUGUUCCCCUCCCUGUCGGGGGAUUUCGGGGGCGUCCGUGUUCUGUGGCUUCAGGGGGGAACCUGUCGUAAACUGUCCCACAAAUUAAACUCUCCAGCUUCCUCCCUCUGCUCACGGACCUGACCUCACAGAUCGGAGCUCUCAGAGCAGGUCUGCUAGACAAGUUUGCCUGCAAAUCUGGAAAUGGCCCUUCCCGGGGGCAACGCCCCCCCCCCGCCCCCGCCCUGCCCCUUGCCUCCUGCUUGAGGUCCGUCGCCGCCACGGGGCUCCGACUGGCCGGGGCUUGCCAGGAUGGCCGAGGGGAGGCCGGUGUGAGGGCCCCGCUCUGCUGGGUUAGGAAUCCGAGAGUAAACAGAUCGAGUUUCCAGUGUCAGCUGGGCUUUUCCAUAACAGGCGCCACAGCCGUGGAAAAUGAGAAUGUUCUCUGAGAUGACUCAGCCGGCCGGCCCCCAGGUAGGGCAGCCCCCGGCCUCAGCUCGGCCCUGGUGACCAGCUGUCGGCCGAGCCCCAGGGGGUGGCUGCGGGUUUCCAGGCUCGAAGACGGUGGUGCAUUUCACGGGGCUCUGUCAGGAUGAGGGCACGUGCAGCCGCCUUGGUCACCUGGCGGGUCCUCAGUGUCCCCAUCUGCGAAAUGGGAUCAGCAGUUCCUCUCCCAGGGUGUGACGGGAGACCAAGGCAGUGCGGGCGGAGAGGUGCACGUAGGAAGCUUGGGAAGAGAGCUUGGACCACAGCAGCGGGAACCCUGGGAGGGACAGAAUUGCGCCCCCGCCGCCCCAGAGCCACCUUCAUCGGGGACUGGAAGAGAAAAAUUACAGAAGAGCCACAGAAAACGAAGGAGGGGCGUCACCCUCAGAAGUUGGAGGCCGUGGGGUAGAUCCCACGCCCAGGGGAAGGCCUGGGCCGCCCGGUGGGGUCUAGCCCAUCAAGGACAAGGGCAGGUCGGCGGCAGAGAAGGGGGAGGGGUCAUUGCUGUACUGAACCGGAUCCUUCCUCAGGCAGAGGCUGGCCAGUGACGAUAGCCGGAGGGCUGCGGUGACCCGCUGGGGGAGGGGAAGGCGGAAGGCGGUGGCCUGGGGAGGAGGUGGCGAGGAGGGAGGCUUUUUUUUAGGAUGUUGGAAACUGAAGCCUGUUUGUAGUUAAGACCAGGCAGCCGAGAAGGAGCUGGAGUCCCGAGGGGGAGGGAGGCGCUUGUGGGAACGGCCAGAGACGCUCGCCCGGAGCUGGUUCUCCCGGGCCAGAGACGAGAGAUAAGAUGGAGGUCAUCUGAGGAUGGGGUCGGCCAAAGGGGGCCGCCCAGGACAUCCUGCCCCUGGACGAGCAGCGGAUGGCACAGAAUCCAAGUGGCUGCUGGAGAGGAGAGGCACUCGAGUGACCUGGGAGCCCGGGGCCCUCAGAGUUGGCAGAUUUAUUGAUUUAUUGGACACAGCGAGAGAAGGAAC